UCACCAAACCAAACCCAACCCUGAACCAUUAAUGGCGCCUCUCUCUCUCUCUCUCUCUCUCUCCAGCGUCCUUCUCCCUCUCCCUCUCCCUCUCCCUCACCGCCGCUCCUCUCCCCUCCACUCUCACCGGCGCUCCUCCUCACGUUGGCCGGCAACCGGAACACCGAUUCACCUCCUUGUUGGUCACCGUUGCCUGAGAUCCUCUCUCUCCCUCUCGGCUCUGUUUUUCUGUCUCACAAAAACCCAUACAGCUUCACAUACACGCACACACAUGGGUUCUUCAAAUAGGUAACAAGGGCUGCCCUAAAGCUUCCAGCAGCAAGAUUUACCAGAUCAUUUCCCCUGAAUGAAAUGUUACAAGAGACAGAGUCGUGUUGCCAUUGUUGUUAAGGCUACAGGCGAAAGCUCUGAAUCUUCGACUUCUCUGAGUGUUGUUAAAUCCGUACAAAAUGUUGUGAGUCCCCCCUCUCUCUCUCUCUCUCAUAAUUGUUUUAUUGCCAAUUGUUUUUAAUAAAAAAAUAGUGAAACUAUUUGGAAAAGGUUGCAAUUUGGGUCUAUGAUCUUGCACUUUCUGAUUCAAGCUGAGUCUGUGAACCUCUGUUGUUAUGAAGUAAAAAGGUUGCAAUUUGCAAUUCUUCUUUAUUUGAAUUUCUUUGAUUAUAAUGAUUGCAUAAUUUGAUGAUUCUGAAACAAAGACUAGGUAUAAUUCAUCUUUAUGGGUAAU